AAUUCCUAUCGUGGUUAACUGUACUUGUUCGAAAAUGGCUCGAUGUUGUUGUGCUCUGCGAUGCUUGAUAUCAUCUCAUGUUAGUAUGGACGGUUGUACCAAAUAGAAGUAGUGGUUUUUUUUAAUCAUAAUUUUGAAUCAUAAAUAUUGGUCCCUGAGAGUUGUCCCUAAGGAUAACUUGUUAGUUCUCCUUGGCCGGCAAUUAUUUCAAUAAUCGUUUUUUGCAUCUGAAAGACUGAAACUACCUACAUAAUUGCUUGGAUUGGAAAACUUUUAGGUUACGUCUUUGCAGUUCACCACCUGACAGGACGCCAUGCCCCUCUAGAAUGAGUGCAUUAGAGCAGUCGAUUCGCAGAUAUGCAGAUGAGCCUACUAAAAGUGUAAUAAGACCAGAACUAGGCUUGAGUUUGGAUUCACUUGGCGAGACGUACGACUUUUACAACUUGUAUUUCUGCUAGAUUGGAUUCAAUCAGGUAUGGCAAGAACAGAUGGGACGCCGACAGGACCAAAUCAAUGCAAGAGCAUUUGCGGCUGCUCGGGGAAGCCAGAGCAGAUUGUGUUGCGAGUACCCUGCGUUGAUGAGGCUCCUGUGUGUGUCCGAAUGCACUACUGGUUCUUCAGGGAUGUGGUAACAUUCGACAUGUCAUACUAACAAUCAUUUUCAAAGCAUUAUAUGACUGGUGUGCUGAUGCAAGAUGAGCGACUAGAGAGCUUCGAAAAUGUGUUUUCGCAGAGUUUCUCCGGAUGAUGGGAGGCCCGACCCCUAAGAAUCCUCACAGAACAGAGCUAAGGAUGCAAGAGACAUACUGCCCGGGCACCGCGUUCAGUACCAGUAGGACGAAAUCUGUGUAGUCAAUUGACCUCACAGGUCAAGUGUGGCUUCGCCACUGGUCAUGCGGAUGAGAGAUGAGGAUGCAGAAGCAUUCGAGCACAUGUCAGCUGGGCUAAACGCCGUGUUUAUUAGCGGCGCACCAUUUGCAGGGAAGAGGGAUGGUUUGGGUUUUAAGGACCUCCUGGCAAUGGAGAGGUUGCAUUUGUGGGGAAUGGCAGUGCAGGUCAUGAAGACAGUGAUGGCGGCUUGGCAAGUGUGAAUGCACUACAAGGGCUUGCUGCUCCAGAGAAGCAGAGAGGUGUUGGUAGGCCGACUAGGAG